rnacentral:ncRNA from 1 species
AAGGCCUGAUGUGUGUGAGAUUACCCGCUGAAUUUAAGCAUAUAAGUAAGCGGAGGAAAAGAAACUAACUAGGAUUCCCUUAGUAAUGGCGAAUGAACAGGGAUCAGCUCAGUGCCAAAUCGGAAUCACUUGUGGUUCUGAAAUGUGGCUUGAAGGCAGUACCAGUGGCAUCGCGGACGAAAGUCUCUGGAAAAGAGCGUCAUAGAGGGUGAGAAUCCCGUGA